rnacentral:rRNA from 1 species
UGCCCCAGUAACGGCGAGUGAAGCGGCAAGAGCUCAAAUUUGAAAUCUGGCCCCUCCGGGGUCCGAGUUGUAAUUUGCAGAGGAUGCUUCGGGUGCGGCCCCGGUCUAAGUCCCCUGGAACGGGGCGUCAUAGAGGGUGAGAAUCCCGUCUGGGAUCGUCGGCCGUGCCCGUGUGAAGCUCCUUCGACGAGUCGAGUUGUUUGGGAAUGCAGCUCUAAAUGGGUGGUAAAUUUCAUCUAAAGCUAAAUACUGGCCGGAGACCGAUAGCGCACAAGUAGAGUGAUCGAAAGAUGAAAAGCACUUUGAAAAGAGAGUUAAACAGCACGUGAAAUUGUUGAAAGGGAAGCGCUUGCGACCAGACUCGCCCGCGGGGUUCAGCCGGGAUUCGUCCCGGUGUACUUCCCCGCGGUCGGGCCAGCGUCGGUUUGGGCGGCCGGUCAAAGGCCCCGGGAAUGUAUCGCCCUCCGGGGCGUCUUAUAGCCCGGGGUGCAAUGCGGCCUGCCCGGACCGAGGAACGCGCUUCGGCACGGACGCUGGCGUAAUGGUCGUAAGCGGCCCGUCUUGAAACACGGACCAAGGAGUCUAACAUCUACGCGAGUGUUCGGGUGUCAAACCCGUCCGCGCAGUGAAAGCGAACGGAGGUGGGAGCCCUUAAGGGUGCACCAUCGACCGAUCCUGAUGUCUUCGGAUGGAUUUGAGUAAGAGCGUAGCUGUUGGGACCCGAAAGAUGGUGAACUAUGCCUGAAUAGGGCGAAGCCAGAGGAAACUCUGGUGGAGGCUCGCAGCGGUUCUGACGUGCAAAUCGAUCGUCGAAUUUGGGUAUA